GAGUUUGAUCCUGGCUCAGAUUGAACGCUGGCGGCAGGCCUAACACAUGCAAGUCGAGCGGUAGAGAGAAGCUUGCUUCUCUUGAGAGCGGCGGACGGGUGAGUAAUGCCUAGGAAUCUGCCUGGUAGUGGGGGAUAACGCUCGGAAACGGACGCUAAUACCGCAUACGUCCUACGGGAGAAAGCAGGGGACCUUCGGGCCUUGCGCUAUCAGAUGAGCCUAGGUCGGAUUAGCUAGUUGGUGAGGUAAUGGCUCACCAAGGCGACGAUCCGUAACUGGUCUGAGAGGAUGAUCAGUCACACUGGAGCUGAGACACGGUCCAGACUCCUACGGGAGGCAGCAGUGGGGAAUAUUGGACAAUGGGCGAAAGCCUGAUCCAGCCAUGCCGCGUGUGUGAAGAAGGUCUUCGGAUUGUAAAGCACUUUAAGUUGGGAGGAAGGGCAGUAAAUUAAUACUUUGCUGUUUUGACGUUACCGACAGAAUAAGCACCGGCUAACUCUGUGCCAGCCG
rnacentral:rRNA from 1 species